UGGGGGAUAUUGCACAAUGGAGGAAACUCUGAUGCAGCGACGCCGCGUGAGGGAAGAAGGUUUUCGGAUUGUAAACCUCUGUCUUCGGUGACGAAAAUGACGGUAGCCGAGGAGGAAGCCACGGCUAACUACGUGCCAGCAGCCGCGGUAAUACGUAGGUGGCAAGCGUUGUCCGGAAUUACUGGGUGUAAAGGGAGCGUAGGCGGGAGUGCAAGUCGGCUGUCUAAACUAUGGGCUCAACCCAUAAUCGCGGCCGAAACUGUACUUCUUGAGUGAAGUAGAGGUAAGCGGAAUUCCUAGUGUAGCGGUGAAAUGCGUAAAUAUUAGGAGGAACACCAGUGGCGAAGGCGGCUUACUGGGCUUUAACUGACGCUGAGGCUCGAAAGCGUGGGUAGCAAACAGG
rnacentral:rRNA from 1 species